UACGUAGGGGGCAAGCGUUGUCCGGAAUUAUUGGGCGUAAAGAGCUCGUAGGCGGACUGUCGCGUCCGCUGUGAAAAGCUAGGGCUUAACCCUGGCCUUGCAGUGGAUACGGGCAGACUAGAGGUAGGUAGGGGAGAAUGGAAUUCCCGGUGUAGCGGUGAAAUGCGCAGAUAUCGGGAGGAACACCGGUGGCGAAGGCGGCCUUCUGGACCAAUACUGACGCUCAUGCACGAAAGCGUGGGGAGCAAACAGG
rnacentral:rRNA from 1 species